rnacentral:rRNA from 1 species
UUGACCUCGAAUCAGGUAGGACUACCCGCCGAACUUAA